GACGAACGCUGGCGGCGUGCCUAUUACAUGCAAGUCGAGCGCUGAGGGGUGGUACUUGUACCAAUGGUGUUAGCAGCGAACGGGUGAGUAACGCGUGGGGAACCUACCUUUGAGCGGGGGAUAACAUUUGGAAACGAAUGCUAAUACCGCAUAAUAACUUGAAACACAUGGUUUAAGAUUGAAAGAUGGACUUGCAUCACCCAAAGAUGAUACCGCGUUGUAUUAGCGUGUUGGUGAGGGAAAGGCUCCACAAGGCGAAGAUACAUAGCCCGCCGGAGAGGGGGAUCCGCCACCUUUGGACUGGGACACGGCCCAAACCCCCAAGGGAGGCAGCAGUAAGGAAACUUUGGGAAUGGACGAAAGGCUGACCGAGCAACGCCGCGUGAGUGAAGAAGGGUCUCGGAUCGUAAAAAUCUGUUGGUAGGGAAGAACGUUAGUGGGAGUGGAAAGCUCACAACGUGACGGUAACUAACCAGAAAGGCACGGCUAACUACGUG
rnacentral:rRNA from 1 species